AAGAUGUCAAAGUGGUUCCAAUAAGCCUGGAUUCUUUGUCAAGGAUCAAAGGUUGUUUAAGUUUAAAGCAGGCGCAGUGUAUGAGGAAACCCAGAGUGAUGGUGACCAGCCUGAGAUAGCAGUAACAGAAAUAAAUAAUGCAACCUAGCUGCCGAUAAACACACAAUUUCAGUGCUCUGUCUAAUAUACACACAUUCAUGCACAUUGUAAUGGGCCUUAGUGUGUUAGUGUACAGCCUGAUCGCUGGUCGGCACAAACAUGAUGGGCCGAAGGGCCUGUUUCUGUGCUCUAUCGCUAAAGUCUAAAGUAAAUUAUGCUGCCUGACCCGCUGAGUUUGUCCAGCACUUGGCGUUUUGCCCAAGAUUCCAGCAUCUGACAGGACACACGACACAGUGCAGGAAGGAGAAAGAGAGCCCUGGUAACAUGGCGUCAAGACAACAUCCUCUCCCUCAAUGCCAACAAGAUGAAGGAGCUCGUCAUUGACUUCAGGAAGUGGGGUUGAGUACACACCGCAGAAUGUGGCAGAGGCGCUGAGGUGGAUGUGAUUGAGAACUUCAAGUUUCCGGUUGUAAAUAUCAACAACAAUCUGUCCUGGUCCAAACAGGUUGAUGCUAAGGUCAAGAAAACACAACAACACUACUACUUCAGAAGGCAGCAUUGUGGAGCAGCGGUAGAGGUGCUGCCUUCCAAUGCCAGGGACCCGGAGAUUUUACCUUGAUCCAGUUAACAUCCUGUCUUGAAGACCAUCAUCAACUCAGUGAAAGAGGCUCUUCGACCUGUUUGUCUCCCAGCAGAGCGAGGUGUCCGUCAGUAAUCUAAUGCCUUUGAGGUACUCUGCCGGACGAUUCCAAGAUUGAACAGGGGAACAAGUUCUUGCUGGCGAGAGUAUUGACAUGCCACGCAAAGUUGGGCAGAAAAAUGUGAGACAGUUCGGAUCGAAAAGUGGAACAAGUCCUAAUCAUUGGCCGGUACUCAAGUACACUGGCAAGAUCAGAAUUCAUUACCCAUCGUUAAUUGCCCCAAAAUACAAUCAUGAAGAAAGCCCAUUUUUUUGGGAAGAUCAGUAUGUCAUUGAAUUCUCUAUUAAAUCUCUACAGGGACACAGUAGAGAGCACGCUGUCUGGCUGCAUUAUGGCUUGGUUCAGCAACUCGAAAGCCCAGGAACAAAGGAGAUGAAAGAGGGUGGUUUGCACUGGCCAGUCCAUCACAGGUACUGACCUCCCCAUCAUCGAAGGGAUCUACAGGAGGCACUGCCUCAAAAAGGAAGCCAGCAUCAUUAGAGACCCACACCACCCUGGCCACGCUCUCAUUUCACUCCUGCCAUCGGGAAGAAGCCACAGGAGGCUGAGAACUGUGACCACCAGGUUCAAGAAUCACUUCUUCCCAACAGACAUCAGACUCUUGAACAUUAUAAUAGCUAAACUAUGAACCAUGCAUUAAUUUUCAUUACACUAAGGACUUCAAGAGUUUUGCUUUGGUAUUGUGGGUAUUAAUGUAUUUGUCAUAUUGACAGCAUUAAGAUGAGAGGGCAAAGUUCAAGGAGAUUUGUCGGGCAGGUUUUUUACACAGAGGGUAGUGAAUGCCCGGAAUUUACUGCCAGAGUGGUGGUGGAGGCAGAUGUACAAUAGUGCCUUUUAAGACACUUUUGGAUGGAAUGGAUUUAACAUCGAGUAAAUGGGGAGAUAUUGAUUAUGAGAAGACAGAUAACAGUUGGUCAUUAGAGUUUACUUAGUUUAGUUUAUUGUCAAGUGCACCGAGGUACAGUGAAAAUCUUUUUUUGUUGCGUUCCAUCAAAUCAGCGGAACGACUACACUUUGGCGAGACGAGUCAGUUGAGUAAAAUAGAAUUCUUUAUUUUAAACAAAAAAAAAGCGUUUAACUCAACCGCGUUCUGGGUCAUCCAAAUAACACGAAGCUCCUUCUACUUGGGUGGAGCUUGACUAACUGAUGAUCCAAAAACCCGCGAUGCCGUGACGGCGCCAGCCAAUAGCGAGGGUUCGUAUUGCCCCAACCACCACUAGGUGCUGCCA